rnacentral:rRNA from 1 species
AUGAUGUACCCCACGACGACCCGCACGCCGGAGUUCCUCGGCCUGAGCAAGGACGCCGGCUUGUGGCCGAAAUCUAGCUACGGCAAAGGGAUCAUCAUCGGGGUGAUCGACUCCGGCAUCGAGUCGAGCCAUCCCUCGUUCGACGACGUCGGCAUGUCGCCGCCGCCCGCCAGGUGGAAGGGCACGUGCAAAGGCAUGGUCAGGCCCGUCCGGUGCAACAACAAGCUCAUUGGCGUCAGGUCCUUCGUGGACUACAACCCUGCCGAUGAGACCGGCCACGUCACGCACGUGGCGUCGAUUGCGGCUGGCAACUUCGUCGCCAACGCCUCGUCGUCCCACGGCCAGGCUGCCGGGACGGCCGCCGGCAUCGGCCCCGGCGCACACGUGGCCGUGUACAAGGCCUGCAGACCUAGUGGGUGCCUCCGUUCGAACGUAAUUCGUGCCAUUGACACGGCGGUGAGCGAUGGGGUCGACGUGAUCAACAUCUCCCUCGGCCGUAAACCAGGACUACCGCUGCACAGAGACGUUGUGGCCAUUGGCGCAUUCCGCGCGGUGGCCAAGGGCGUAGUCUUCGUGACGUCUGCUGGCAACGACGGCCCCGACCCAUCCACCGUCAAGAACGACGCGCCAUGGGAGAUCACGGUGGCCGCCGGUUCGGUGGACCGGAGGCUUGCCGCCGACCUUGUGCUGCAGCUGGGCGACGUGCUGGUGGAAGGAGAGGCGCUGGUGCAGGGGCCCAACUCGAUCGCCUACCAACCCCUCCACUACCCCGGCGAGGGUAACCUGUGCAAGAAGGUGAGCGCUGACCGCACGAGGGGCCAUAUUGUGAUCUGCGAUGAUGCCGGGGUUAACGUUGACGCCCAGGCCCGCAUCAUCAAAAAUCUCUACGACAAUGGCGCCGCUGACGUCCUGCUCAUCGGUGAGGAGAAAGCCGGUUUCUCCUUGGGCUUCAGGGAGUACGGCUCCUCCGUGGUGCAGGAGCCCGCCGUUGUCGGCCGCAAGCUCAAGGACUACAGCCAGCACCUGGAGUCCGCGGCGCAGGUGUUAUUCAAGGGCACGCAGCUCGGGGUCGGCCCGUCGCCCACGGUCGCCUUCUUCCUACGACCGAGGCCCGAGCCGCGGCAACCCACGCAUCUUGAAGCCCGACAUCCUGGCGCCUGGGCUCAACAUCCUCGCCGCCGCCACGGCGAGCCCAGACCAGGGGCCUUUCAGAUUCAAGUCCGGGACAUCGAUGGCAGCGCCACACAUCAGCGGCGUCGUCGCCCUUCUCAAGAGCGUGCACCCGGACUGGUCGCCGGCGGCCAUCAGGUCAGCCAUGAUCACCACGGCGGAUGA